rnacentral:lncRNA from 1 species
GGAAGCAGGGAGGUUUCAGGCCAUGCAGGGCCUCCUGGGGGAAGGGGAGGGUAAGGAGAGCAGAAAUGGUGUCUGACCUUCACUGAAUCUGGAAAGGUCACCGGCAGCCAGAGGACAGUUAUGAAAAUGAAACGAGGCCGGGCGCUGGGGCUCACACCUGUAAUCCCAGCACUUUGGGAAGCCAAGGCAGGCGGAUCACAAGGUCAAGAGAUGGAGACCAACCUGGCCAACAUGGUGAAGCCCCGUCUCUACUAAAAAUACAAAAAUUAGCCGGGCGUGGUAGCACGCACCUGUAGUCCCAGCUACUCGGGAGGCUGAGGCAGGAGAAUCCUGUGAACCCAGGAGGCGGAGGUUGCAGUGAGCUUAGAUCGUGCCGUUGCACCCCAGCCUGGGCGACAGAGCAUGACUCUGUCUCAAAAAAAAAAAAAGAAAGGAAAUGACAUCGAGCUGCCCGUGUUGGGCACAUGUGAGGCCUCUUUCCGGGGCUCCCUCGGUGCCCUCAGGCCUCACCUUAGCCCCGGUCAACCCUGGGCAGCAGUGAACGAGGAAGACAAAGACGUCCCCCCAGCAAGGGUAUUGUACUACCUCCCAGAGGCCAGGUCCAGGGGCCAUGAUCUCUUCCUGGAGGCCUUUUAAGUUGAUAAAACAUCAGCUAAUGUCCCUUGAAACCAGCACAGUUUCUCUCCAGAGGUGCUGUCCACUCUAUGCAUCUUUCUCAUUUUUUAUAUUUUUUGUAGAGAUGGAGUCUUGCUAUUUGCACAGGCUGGCCUCUGUCUCCUGGCCUCAAGUGAUGCUCCCGCCUCAGCCUCUCAAAGCUGUGGGAAUACAGGUGUGAGCCACCACGGCCAGCACGUAUUAUUAUUUUUAUUAAUAUUAUUGAUGAGUUUCAUACGUAAAGGAUCACGGGCACUUUAGAGCUGGGAGAUACUUCAGUAUUUCUCCUAUCCUGUCAUUAUCAGUGCGAG